GCUACUAUUGUCACUAUCGGUACCCUCACAAAGGCACUGACUUGGAUGCUGUAAUUGGUAAGUGCUAUUUGUUGGGGUAGUUUCAAGUGA
rnacentral:pre_miRNA from 8 species